rnacentral:rRNA from 1 species
CAGUCGCCGCGGUAAGACAGAGGAUGCAAGCGUUAUCCGGAAUGAUUGGGCGUAAAGCGUCUGUAGGUGGCUUUUCAAGUCCGCCGUCAAAUCCCAGGGCUCAACCCUGGACAGGCGGUGGAAACUACCAAGCUGGAGUACGGUAGGGGCAGAGGGAAUUUCCGGUGUAGCGGUGAGAUGCGUAGAUAUCGGAAGGAACACCUGUGGCGAAAGCGGCUCACUGGACCAUUUCUGACGCUGAUGCACGAAAGCUAGGGGAGCAAACAGGAUUAGAUACCCCCGUAGUCCCUGUCUCUUAUAC